CCUACGGGGGGCAGCAGUGAGGAAUAUUGGUCAAUGGACGAGAGUCUGAACCAGCCAAGUAGCGUGAAGGAUGACUGCCCUAUGGGUUGUAAACUUCUUUUAUAAGGGAAUAAACUGAGGCACGUGUGCCUUUUUGCAUGUACCUCAUGAAUAAGGAUUGGCUAAUUCCGUGCCAGCAGCCGCGGUAAUACGGAGGGUCCGAGCGUUAUCCGGAUUUAUUGGGUUUAAAGGGAGCGCAGACGGGUUCUUAAGCGUGUUGUGAAAGUCUGCGGCUCAACCGUAGAAUUGCAAUGGGUACUGGCAGUCUUGAGUACGGCUGAGGUAGGCGGAAUUCGUGGUGUAGCGGUGAAAUGCUUAGAUAUCACGAAGAACCCCGAUUGCGAAGGCAGCUUACUAUAGUGUGACUGACGUUGAGGCUCGAAGGUGUGGGUAUCGAACAGGAUUAGAUACCCUUGUAGUC
rnacentral:rRNA from 1 species